UACGACAACCCGGCCCGGCCCGGCUUGGCGGCCAGCUGAUCGGUGACCGCCACACACCACACACGCCGCCGGCCCUGCACGAUGGUGGACCAGGCACAGCACCGCAUCCAGGAGGCCAUGACGGCCCUCGUGGAUGACCUGGACAAGACCUACCUUCGAGGCAUGCAGAGAACAAUGCACCUUUGUGCAGCGUCAUGCUGUGAAAAGAAGGAGAACUCAGUUGACCAGGUGCACCGUUGUAUUGAGAACUGUUCGACACCUCUCACUCAAGCACAGAGUUUUGUGCAGAAUGAACUUUCACAGUUUCAGGAGCGGUUGCAGAGGUGUGUGAUGGUGUGCCAAGACCGUGUCAAAGAUCAUGUACACGCUGAUGCCACAGAAGCUCAGGAACCCCAACGCCACUCCACACUUUCCUUUGCCAACACAGCAGGAAGUGUGUUACGUCAGGCAGCCUUGGGGAAAGAUGGAUAUAUUGUAUGGAAGAUGGCAGAUGGCUUUGCUGUUUGUGAGCCCAGAAAUAUUUAGCUCCAAUACUCACAGUCAUGCUUAGUUUCCACCAAAGCAAAGACCAGCAGGCAGAGGUGUCUGCAUACAAGGCUGAGUUCGAGGGGUGUGCCAUGCAGUGUGUUGAUGAGCACAUCCAGCUGAUGCCGUCUGUAAAGAAGAGGAUUGCUGGUGUUUUAGCAAAAAACUCCUAGGUAUAGUUUUGUAGUACUAGGGAGUCUUUUCGAAACAUUUUUAACUUGCUGGCUCAUAUGGUACAAAUAUAAGAAGGGUUAUUUUCUGCCUCUUUGAAAUCUUUUACCGUCUUGCAGAAAGCAAGGGAUGUGUGUGAACAUGAAAUAGUUAUUGUUUGGCAGCUGAUGACUCACUAACUUAGCAAUCAGUUGAUGAUAAAAAUAAUUGUGUAAUGUGUUGAAAAAUUUAAUUUGUCAAGUACAGUGACAUUUAAACAUGUAACAACGAGUUCUAUACACUCUUUAAAAUAGUUUCUUUCCACUGGUCAACCCAUUUGGGCAUUUCAGAUACUUUAUACAUUGUAAAACAUUUAUUUCCAUUUUUCCUAUUCUGUAGUUAUAGUUUGCUUCUGUUUGUUGGCAAUCAGGAGCCUUUUGAAUGGUGUGUCUGUGCCUGAGUGAAGAAGAAUAGUAAUUGUUUGUAGUGUUUUAUUAAUGUUGGUGUCGUAUGAUUAACAGUAGCAGUCUUAUUUUAAGACUAUGCAUAUUAAAUAGGCACCAUCACGUGCAUUAGAUCAACUGUGCCAAUAUAGACUCAGGCCUCCUACCAGGGAUCUGCUGGGUGUUGGUUGUAAUGCUUUUGCAUCUCAUUUAUUUUCUGUGUGUGACCAUCAAAGCAUUUUGGACAAGAAGAAAGAAAAUUGUGGGUUUUCAUUCCAGGUUCAUCAAUCAGCAUAGUGGGAGUACAGUGUAAUUUACACUCAUUUAAAGUCAUCAUAGAUAUUUUGUAAUAUUUAAUAAAAAGUUGUGUUUACAUAAGCUAUCAUUUUGCAAUAUUGAUGCUUUAUAUUUAAGAUGCAGUGUUGUUGAUAAUUUCGAGGUUAAUAGUUUGUUUUCAGUUACUGAAUUUAUUUUUAUCAGUUUUAUCUCUUAAUUAUCUUUUUGUGAUCAUAUAUCACAUUUUAGUGAGUAUAAUUUUAAAAUAUUGCCAGUUAAACUGCUUUUAUAAUAUUCUUCACCAUUUGUUAUGAAACCAUGACAAUAUUAAUAAAUAUUGUGCCCAGAAAUUUCAAUUAGAAUUUGCAAUAUUUUAUAAAUAAACUUAUAAAAUAUUAUAUAAAUAAACUUAUUGUAGAAAUAAGUUUUUAAAUUGAUUCUCACUCUAAUAUAUACAUGUUAACUUGUUGACUUUACACGUAGUUUUGGGAUUUGCUAUUUUCUCAUCACAUCCACAACAUAAGCAAAAGCUUGUAGACUUUCCAUGCAUUACAAGUUGUUUGGGUUUGCAUGUUUACAAUUCAGAUUUUUACUCUCCAUAUGAUAAUUUUUACAUGUUAAAGAAUGGUGAUAACUUAGCCGGUAUGUCUCGGCAAAUACUAAUACAGCAAAUACUAAACUUGAAGAUGAUGUGAAAUUGAGAUCAAGUCAUGUAAGCCCCAUAUUUAUCUGUAAGUCAAGGAAGAUGAUACAUAUUUAGCCUCCUAUCUAGUAUCAAGGCAGAUGCUAUCCUACUUAUUUAAUUAAAAUUCUGAAAAGAGUUUUAAGUUAAUAGUGGAAGGUCAAUUUGAGAUAUAAUUUAAAACCAGAAUGUUAUGCUAUUGUGUAAGUAGGUGAUUGAUAUCAUAUAUAUAUAUAUAUAUAUAUAUAUAUAUAUAUAUAUAUAUAUAUAUAUAUAUAUAUAUAUAUAUAUAUAUAUAUAUAAACACACACACACACACAUCAAUUUUAAUUUUAAAGAAAUGUGUUCUUGUACAUAUUUCAUGAACACUGCAGUAAAUAUGUAUGUAACUGGAAUGGAAAAACAUUUUCUUUGCUCACCAUUUUAAUUGCCUUAUUUUCACACAAUAUCAAGAGAACAUCUAUUUUCUAACAGUGCAAUAUCAAGAAAACUUUUUUAAGAACUCUAUUGCUCCCUGAACUUAAUGAAUGAAAAUGUUGAUUAAAUUUUUGUUUAUUAUAUAUUGUUUGCAUUAUAGCUGGCAAUUUUUCAUCAGGGUGUCUGAAGGAAUUAUAAUAUUCUACUUCAAUUCAACAAAUUCCUUAAUAUAUAUAUAUAUAUAUAUAUAUAUAUAUAUAUAUAUAUAUAUAUAUAUAUAUAUAUAUAUAUAUAUAUAUAUAUAUAUUUAAAAUGAUGAGAUCGUUAUGGAUGCCUUUCAAGGUUGGCAUUUGCACAUUGGUUCCAUCUGUAUAGACUUGCUGUUUGGUGUUCCCAUAUGGUGCAAUAAGACUGAUCUCAUGUUCCUGAUGAUAUGGGUGGCCUCUAGCUAUAAGUGACCGAGUAGCUGAGGUGUGACCAGUGACACUACAAAUUAUACCUGACACUUCAUGUAAGCCCUAAUUUAAUAUUGCUCUAUUUUUAGAAGUAUAUUUUCUUAGGAAGGUGUUUCACAUAAUGAUUGUAUUCCAGUAUAGUACUAUUUUUUCGUUUUUGUCUGUUCCGCCCAAAGCUGUAAAAUAAUACUGUAAAUAACAUGUUUAAUCUUAUAA